rnacentral:lncRNA from 1 species
AAAACAAACAAGCUGUUCUGUCUUGUCUCUCCCAGCUUGCUUAGAGACUCAGCUCAGCUUGGCUGCAUGUAGAUCAAUUUGCUUCAAGAGAUCAACAUUUCCUUUUUAACCUCUCAGACUGGCACAAAAUUAAUUUGCCUAUGCCUUGGUCCCUGUGGGCUGUUGCUGGUUUUGAAUGGAGGACGCUUAACUGAAGAAGCAAAGUAUAUUCUUGGAAUGGACUGCAAAAAACUGAAACUACUAUUUUCUUGAUAGUCUUUGCUGACAAAUCAAACUGCAGCCAGUCACAUAUUAAAAUUAGUGCCUAUGAGCCAGUGAGUGAAGGAACCUCCUUGGAG